rnacentral:rRNA from 1 species
CCCUUAGAUGUUCUGGGCUGCACGCACGCUACACUGAAGCUAUCAACACGUUUUCCCUCCCUGAGAAGGGCGGGUAACCUUUUGAAUCAGCUUCGUGGUAGGGAUCGGGGCUUGCAAUUGUUCCCCGUGAACCAGGAAUUCCUAGUAGACGCGAGUCAUAAGCUCGCAUCGAUUAAGUCCCUGCCCUUUGUACACACCGCCCGUCGCUACUACCGAUUGAACGUUUUAGUGAGGCAUUUGGACCGACGCAUCUCAGUUUAACCGCUGGUUUGUGUUGGAAAGACUUCCAAACUUGAGCGUUUAGAGGAAGUAAAAGUCGUAACA